AGCUUUGUGCAGUGGCAGUAUCAUAGCCAAUAAGGUUUAUCCGAGGCGCGACUAUUGCUAAUUAAAGAAAGUGUGAUGGUAAUAAUUCC
ensembl:snRNA U4 U4 spliceosomal RNA